CCUAAAUCAAAUCCCUUACAAUCAUACAGUGAAAGUGACAAAUAGAUUCAAGGGAUUAGAUGUGAUAGAGAGAGUGCCUAAAGAACUGUGGACAGAGGUCCGUGACAUUGUAUAGAAGGCAGGGAUCAAGACCAUCCCUAAG